UAACAAGGAUUCCCCUAGUAACGGCGAGUGAAGAGGGAAAAGCCCAGCACCGAAGCCUGCGGCAGUUUUGCUGUUAGGCAAUGUGGUGUUUGGGUCGGCUCGUGGGAUUGCCACUCCACUCGAAGUCCAGCAUUGAGUAUGGUCACUGGAUUUGGCCCAGAGAGGGUGAAAGGCCCGUACGGGUGGAGGUUCAGAAAUGAAAGGCAGUUCACCAGGCCGGCCUUAGAGUCGGGUUGUUUGAGAAUGCAGCCCAAAGCGGGUGGUAAACUCCAUCCAAGGCUAAAUACAAGCACGAGUCCGAUAGCGAACAAGUACCGUGAGGGAAAGUUGAAAAGUACUCUGAAGAGAGAGUAAACAGUACGUGAAACCGCAUGCAGGUAAACGGGUGGCGUCAAGCUGCAAGCGCAGGGGAUUCAGCCGGCUAGGAUGUUGUGUAUGUGCCUGGCGCAUCCAUCAGUCAGAGUAUGAUUGGAUAGUCCACUGGUAAACGGUGGGCCCGGCCGCAAGGCUGGGAUGUGUGUACCGGGUGUGUGCCGGAGCAUGCUAUCCGUCUAUGGACUGUCUAGCCGGUGCACUUUCUCUGUGCUGACACCACGACCGGUGGCAUUGCCAGUCUGCUGUGUCCAAGUCGUGUUCGGUCGGUCCUCGUGGCCAACUGGAUGCGAUCACAGGCAAACUCAGUAUACGGCGUAGAGGGGCUUCGGCACUUCUGCGUGUUAUCGGCUACUGGUUGUCAACGGGCUACCUAGUGUUUGUUGUAACCGGCACUUGGGUAGUCUGGUGGGACAUGGUGGUAAGAAUAACUGUGCAAGGCACCGGGUUGAGCGGCCUCAAAUGCACUCUGCCCGCGCGUUACAAGCGGUUAUGGCGGUGCUGUUGCUGCCUGCUCGUGGCUGGGUCUGACUGUCGUGUCGCCUGCGCAAAGUGGGCCCGGCAGUGGCUCGACCCGAGGUGGGUAGUGGAUGGUGCUGUCUGUGUGGAGUGUGGUGGGCCUCAUAGUCUGUGGUGUAGUGGUAGACGAGCUACCCGACCCGUCUUGAAACACGGACCAAGGAGUUCAACA
rnacentral:rRNA from 1 species